rnacentral:rRNA from 1 species
AUUGAACGCUGGCGGCAUGCCUUACACAUGCAAGUCGAACGGCAGCACGGGAGCAAUCCUGGUGGCGAGUGGCGAACGGGUGAGUAAUAUAUCGGAACGUGCCCAGUAGUGGGGGAUAACUGCUCGAAAGAGCAGCUAAUACCGCAUACGACCUGAGGGGGAAAGGGGGGGAUCGCAAGACCUCUCGCUAUUGGAGCGGCCGAUUUCAGAUUAGCUAGUUGGUGGGGUAAAGGCCUACCAAGGCAACGAUCUGUAGUUGGUCGGAGAGGACGACCGGCCGCACUGGGACAGAGACCCGACCCAGACUCCUACGGGAGGCAGCAGUGGGGAAUUUUGGACAAUGGGCGCAAGCCUGAUCCAGCAAUGCCGCGUGCAGGAAGAAGGCCUUCGGGUUGUAAACUGCUUUUGCCAGGGAAGAAAUCCUCUAGGUUAAUACCCUUGGGGGGAUGACGGUACCUGAAGAAUAAGCACCGGCUAACUACGUGCCAGCCGCCGCCGUAACAC